rnacentral:rRNA from 1 species
UACGUAGGGACCGAGCGUUGUCCGGAAUCAUUGGGCGUAAAGAGCGUGUAGGCGGCCGAUCAAGUUCCGCGUGAAAUCUCACGGCUCAACCGUGAGCAGCCGUGGAAAACUGGUCGGCUAGAGUGCGGGAGAGGAGAGUGGAAUUCCUGGUGUAGCGGUGAAAUGCGCAGAUAUCAGGAAGAACACCCGUGGCGAAGGCGGCUCUCUGGGACGGUACUGACGCUGAGACGCGAAAGCGUGGGGAGCGAACAGG